rnacentral:tRNA from 1 species
GUGGAUAUGGCGGAACGGUAUACGCGCAUGUUUGAGGGACAUGUGAGAAAUUUUCUCGUGUGAGUUCGAAUCUCAUUAUCCACA